rnacentral:rRNA from 1 species
AUUGAACGCUGGCGGCAUGCCUAACACAUGCAAGUCGAACGGUAACAGGAAGAAGCUUGCUUCUUUGCUUACGAGUGGCGGACGUGUGAGUAAUGUCUGGGAAACUGCCUGAUGGAGGGGGAUAACUACUGGAAACGGUAGCUAAUACCGCAUAACGUCGCAAGACCAAAGAGGGGGACCUUCGGGCCUCUUGCCAUCGGAUGUGCCCAGAUGGGAUUAGCUAGUAGGUGGGGUAACGGCUCACCUAGGCGACGAUCCCUAGCUGGUCUGAGAGGAUGACCAGCCACACUGGAACUGAGACACGGUCCAGACUCCUACGGGAGGCAGCAGUGGGGAAUAUUGCACAAUGGGCGCAAGCCUGAUGCAGCCAUGCCGCGUGUAUGAAGAAGGUCUUCGGGUUGUAAAGUACUUUCAGCGGGGAGGAAGGGAGUAAAGUUAAUACCUUUGCUCAUUGACGUUACCCGCAGAAGAAGCACCGGCUAACUCCGUG